rnacentral:rRNA from 1 species
AUUGAACGCUGGCGGCAUGCUUUACACAUGCAAGUCGAACGGUAACAGGCCGCAAGGUGCUGACGAGUGGCGAACGGGUGAGUAAUGCAUCGGAACGUGCCCAGUCGUGGGGGAUAACGCAGCGAAAGCUGUGCUAAUACCGCAUACGAUCUAUGGAUGAAAGCGGGGGACCGUAAGGCCUCGCGCGAUUGGAGCGGCCGAUGUCAGGUUAGGUAGUUGGGGGGGUAAAGGCCUACCAAGCCGACGAUCUGUAGCUGGUCUGAGAGGACGACCAGCCACACUGGGACUGAGACACGGCCCAGACGCCUACGGGAGGCAGCAGUGGGGAAUUUUGGACAAUGGGCGCAAGCCUGAUCCAGCAAUGCCGCGUGCAGGAAGAAGGCCUUCGGGUUGUAAACCGCUUUUGUACGGAACGAAACGGUCUGGGUUAAUACCCUGGGCUAAUGACGGUACCGUAAGAAUAAGCACCGGCUAACUACGUGCCAGCCGCCGCGGUAAUAC